GACGUAGGAUGCGAGCGUUGUCCGGAUUUAUUGGGCGUAAAGAGUUCGUAGGUGGUUUGUUAAGUCUGAUGUUAAAGAUCGGGGCUCAACCCCGGGAGUGCAUUGGAUACUGGCAGACUCGAGUAUGGUAGAGGUAAGUGGAAUUCCCAGUGUAGCGGUGAAAUGCGUAGAUAUUGGGAAGAACACCGGUGGCGUAAGCGACUUACUGGGCCAUCACUGACACUGAGGAACGAAAGCUAAGGGAGCGAAUGGG
rnacentral:rRNA from 1 species